rnacentral:rRNA from 1 species
GACGAACGCUGGCGGCGUGCUUAACACAUGCAAGUCGAACGGAAAGGCCCCUUUGGGGGUACUCGAGUGGCGAACGGGUGAGUAACACGUGAGUAACCUGCCCUUGACUUCGGGAGAACUUCAGGAAACUGGGGCUAAUACCGGAUAGGAAUCCUUGCUGCAUGGUGGGGGUUGGAAAGCUUCGGCGGGUUUGGAUGGACUCGCGGCUUAUCAGCUUGUUGGUGGGGUAGUGGCUUACCAAGGCUUUGACGGGUAGCCGGCCUGAGAGGGCGACCGGCCACAUUGGGACUGAGAUACGGCCCAGACUCCUACGGGAGGCAGCAGUGGGGAAUAUUGCACAAUGGGCGGAAGCCUGAUGCAGCAACGCCGCGGGCGGGAUGACGGCCUUCGGGUUGUAAACCGCUUUCAGCAGGGGCGAAGCUUGUGGUGACGGUACCUGCAGAAGAAGCACCGGCUAACUACGUG